AUGGAUUUGAGAGGAGCCCUCUCGUGUGCUCUCCUACUGGUGACAGUGCUGUUGCCUCCUUCAGCUAAUGCGUCCACCAACUCACUCUACAUUGUGUAUAUGGGGGAGAAGAAACACGAUGAUCCAUCCGUGGUCACCGCGUCGCACCAUGACCUACUAACCUUGGUUUUUGGGAGCAAAGAUGAAGCUUUGAAGUCGAUAGUUUACAGUUACAAGCACGGAUUUUCAGGGUUCGCAGCAAUGCUCACCGUGUCCCAAGCCGAGACACUUACAAGUAAUGCAUACAACCCGGAUCGGAGCUGGGAUUUCCUUGGCCUUGACUAUAAUAACAGCAACCAACAACAGCCGGACCUCCUCAAAAAAGCAAAGUACGGUGAAGAUGUCAUCAUCGGGGUGGUCGACACAGGCAUAUGGCCAGAAUCACAAAGCUUCGACGACAACGGGUACGGACCAAUACCGGCACGGUGGAAAGGCACGUGCGAGACCGGCCAGAUGUUCUACAACACGAGCUGCAAUCGAAAGAUUAUCGGCGCGCGGUGGUACGGUCGCGGCAUGGGCACAGAUGUGGCUAAGAGAAACUUCAUGUCACCCAGGGACUCUGAAGGCCACGGCACACACGUCGCAUCGACGAUCGCAGGUAGCCAGGUGAAGGGCGUGGGCUACGGUGGAGGUCUAGCCACCGGCAUAGCACGUGGCGGAGCGCCGCGUGCUCGUCUGGGCAUCUACAAGGUGUGCUGGAAGGGCGAGGGCUGCCCUGACGCAACGGUUCUUGCGGCCAUCGACGACGCCAUACAUGACGGCGUGGACGUCUUGUCCCUCUCGGUGGGAGGCCCAGCCGGUCACGAGUGCCCUGGGACGCUGUACGCAGUGCUGCAAGGAAUCUCCAUCGUGUUCGCCGGCGGGAACGAUGGCCCUGUGCCGCAGACGGUGUCAAAUGCCGUGCCGUGGGUCACCACGGUCGCCGCCAGCACAAUUGAUCGCUCUUUCCCGACCCUAAUAUCUCUAGGGAACAAGGAAAAUCUGGUGGGGCAGUCUGUUUACUACAAUGCAUCUCUCAGCAGCAACGACUUUGAGGACCUUGUCUACGUGGGAAGCACCUCCGCGGAGUCACUGUCGAUCAAUGCCACCGGUAAAAUCGUGUUGUGCUACGUACCGGCGCCGCCCCGUCCAGGACUCCGCGAGGCCAUCAACUUUACGAAGGUAGGCGGCGCCAGGGGACUAAUCUUCGCGCACCACGGUGAAAACGACGUGGAAAACCUGGGCGCGUGCGACGGCAUUAUGCCCUGCGUGCUUGUGGAUUCCGAGGUCGCCCAGAGAAUCGUAUCAUACUGGCUCGCCACAGGGGAUCCGGUGGUGAAGGUGUCGCCGGCCGUAACCGUCGUCAGGAACGGGGUGUCGUCGCCGAGGGUCGGCUGGUUCUCAUCCAGGGGCCCGAGCCCCUUGUUCCCCGGCACACUCAAGCCUGACAUAGCAGCUCCGGGAGUCAGCAUCCUGGCGGCCGUGGGAGACUCCUACAUGUUAAUGUCUGGGACGUCAAUGGCGUGCCCUCAUGUCUCGGCGGUCACCGCGCUGCUCAAGUCGGUUCACCCCGAUUGGUCACUAGCGAUGCUCAAGUCCGCCAUCGUCACCACCGCGUCAGUCGUCGACCGUUUUGGUAUGCCGAUCCAAGCAGAGGGCGCCCCAACCAAGCUUGCAGACCCCUUCGACUUCGGUGGUGGCCACAUAGACCCAGAUAGGGCUGUUGAUCCAGGCUUGGUCUACGAUGUGGAAGCAAGAGACUACAUCAAGUUCUUCAACUGCACCCAGCUCGGAUCACAGCUGGAUGGAUGCGAGGCAAACCAGCUCAACCUCAACCUCCCGUCAAUUGCCGUGCCGAACCUCAAGGACAACGUCGUGGUCCGGCGUACUGUCAUGAACGUCGGGCCAACAGAAGCGACCUUCCGAGUGGUGGUUGAGGCUCCAGCAGGAGUUGCAGUGUCCGUGGAACCAUCUGUGAUCAGUUUCACCAGAGGCGGUAGCAAAACCACGUCGUUCAUGGUGACGUUCAUGGCAAGGCAGAGGGUGCAAGGUGGGUACACCUUUGGGAGCUUGACAUGGAAGUCAGAUGGAAGUACCCACUCAAUGAGAAUUCCGGUUGCAGUACGAACCGUGAUAUGA
rnacentral:rRNA from 1 species